UACAGAGGUCUCAAGCGUUGUUCGGAUUCAUUGGGCGUAAAGGGUGUGUAGGUGGCGCCGUAAGUCGGGUGUGAAAUUUCGGAGCUUAACUCCGAAACUGCAUUCGAUACUGCGGUGCUUGAGGACUGGAGAGGAGACUGGAAUUCAUGGUGUAGCAGUGAAAUGCGUAGAUAUCGUGAGGAAGACCAGUGGCGAAGGCGGGUCUCUGGACAGUUCCUGACGCUGAGGCACGAAGGCCAGGGGGAGCAAACGGG
rnacentral:rRNA from 1 species